AUGUGGGGGAAUUUUUUGAAGCGUAAACACCGAGAAGAUGAUGAGUUAGCCAUCAUCGAAGCCGUAUACAAAGGCAAGAGAGGUUCAAGCAAUCGCCAACGUAUUCACACUUCCAUCCUUACGGGGCAUGAGUACCUCAGACAGUUGCCACCAGUUAAUGUUCGUUUGAAGGUUUCAAGCAACCCUAAAUUUGUGCCCUACUUUCAGGAUUGUAUCGGAGCAAUUGAUGGGACGCAUGUUCCAAUUAGCAUAUCUCCGAGACUACAAGACCCAUAUCGCAAUAGAAAAGGAACAUUAUCACAAAAUGUCAUGGUGGCAUGUAAUUUUGAUAAUCAAUUCGUCCAUGUUAGUGCGGGCUGGGAAGGAUAUGCAAAUACACCUAAUUUUAUUGCACCCUACCGAAAUGUCAGGUACCAUUUGAACGAGCAAGCCAAAUGCAACCAAAGGCCACAAAAUGCUAAAGAGCUAUUCAAUCUCAGGCAUGCACAACUCCGUAAUCACAUCGAGCGCAUCAUUGGCGUUGUGAAGAAGCGUUUCCCGGUAUUGAAGUGUGCUUCACAUUACCCAAUUGAAUCUCAACCUGAUAUUGUCAUAGCAUGUUGUGCACUUCAUAACUUUAUUCGCAAUCACGAGCGGGCGAACAAUGGUUUGACCAGAAGUGAUGUACAGUCUCUCAAUGAGCAGCGUGCAUUGGGUCAUUCAAAAAGAGAUCAAAUUGCUGAAUCAAUGUGGAAAGACUACUGUGAGUAUCUCCAGGAGCGUGCUAGAAGAAAUAGCACAUGA
rnacentral:rRNA from 1 species